GAUGAACGCUAGCGGCAGGCCUAACACAUGCAAGUCGAGGGGUAGGGAGACUUCGGUUUCCUGAGACCGGCGGAUGGGUGAGUAACGCGUAUGCAACCUACCUUUCACAGGGGAAUAGCCCGGAGAAAUCCGGAUUAAUGCUCCAUGGAUUAUUUAGAUGGCAUCAUUUAAAUAAUAAAGAUUUAUCGGUGAAAGAUGGGCAUGCGUAUCAUUAGCUAGUUGGUGUGGUAACGGCAUACCAAGGCAACGAUGAUUCGGGGUCCUGAGAGGGAGAUCCCCCACACUGGUACUGAGACACGGACCAGACUCCUACGGGAGGCAGCAGUGAGGAAUAUUGGUCAAUGGAGGCAACUCUGAACCAGCCAUGCCGCGUGCAGGAUGACUGCCCUAUGGGUUGUAAACUGCUUUUAUACAGGAAGAAAUGUAUCUACGCGUAGAUAUUUGACGGUACUGUAGGAAUAAGGAUCGGCUAACUCCGUGCCAGC
rnacentral:rRNA from 1 species